AAAGCCCAGCACCGAAGCCUGUGACUGUUUGGUCACUAGGCAAUGUGGACAUCUCCCUGGGUAGACCUUGGAGUCGGGUUGUUUGUGAUUGCAGCCCAAAGUGGGUGGUAAACUCCAUCCAAGGCUAAAUACUUACACGAGUCCGAUAGCGAACAAGUACCGUGAGGGAAAGUUGAAAAGUACUUUGAAGAGAGAGUAAACAGUGCGUGAAACCGCUCAGAGGUAAACGGGUGGAGUUGAACUGCAAACUCUGAGAAUUCAGCUGGUGAGUGUGGUUUGGGCUUGGUCAAAGUGAUUGGCCUGGUGGGUCUGCUCAGCUGCAGGUCCCUGCCUUCGGGUGGGGAUGUGCGAGGCACUUGUCAAGUGUUGCGCGCCCGCAAGGUAACUCGGAUCAGCUCGCCAGUGCACUUUCUCGGAGUGUUCACCACGACCGGCGCUGCUGCCUGUCUGAUGUGGUCAAACCGGUCUUGCAUUGUCCUUGCGGCUCUGUUUGGUCGGGAUGGCAGGUAACUCGUUGGCUUGUGUGCUGGCUUCGGUUGGCAUGCGUUUGGCUUUCGAGCGUAAUCAGCUGGCUAUGUCAGUACUGUGCAGUGCGUCGGAGACGGCGGCUUGUUGUGGGUGUUCGUGCUUGCUCAUUGACGGCUCCGAGUUUGAUUGUUAUGUUGCCUGUCUCUGAUAGGCCUGGUAAUAGCUCGGUUCUGCUUGGUGGGCAGUUGCGGAUGCCUAUAUUUCAGGGCCAACAGUCUGUGGUGUAGUGGUAGACUAUCCACCCGACCCGUCUUGAAACACGGACCAAGGAGAGUAACAUGUGCGCGAGUCAUUGGGCGUUACGAAACCCAAAGGCGCAGUGAAAGUAAAGGCUCGGCUUGUCUGGGCUGAGGUGAGAUCCUGUCGUUCCUCACGCAAGGUACUGCCAAGCGUUUGAGCGGCGGGCGCAUCACCGGCCCGUCCCAUGGCGUGGACACGGUCUUCGGGCUGUGCACCGUCGGGGCGGAGCAUGAGCGCACAUGUUGAGACCCGAAAGAUGGUGAACUAUGCUUGCGCAGGUUGAAGCCAGAGGAAACUCUGGUGGAGGACCGCAGCGAUUCUGACGUGCAAAUCGAUCGUCAAACGUGAGUAUAGGGGCGAAAG
rnacentral:rRNA from 1 species